rnacentral:lncRNA from 1 species
GUGAGACCCUGUCCACCCCCACCGUAGAAUAAAGUAAAAUAAGAUAAAAUAAAAAAGACUGGGGAUGUGACUCAGUGGUUCGAUCCCUAGUACCAAAACAAAGCAAAACAAAAAGUUAAACCGAAUGAAAAAUGUAAUUCCUCAGGUGUAUUAGCCACAUUUCAAUGAUCAGUGACCACUGUAUGGGCAGCCCAGAUACAGAGCAUUCCCCCGUCAGUGGAAGUUCUACCCGGCAGUCCUGAUCUGUGUCUUCUAGAGGUUUCUGUCUGUCCUCCCCCCUUCCCUUCCCCCUGUCUUUCUCUCCUGUCCUCCUCCUUUCUUUCUUGGCACCGGGGAUUGAGCCAGGGCCUCAUGCUGGACAAGCUCAUUCUGCACAGGUAAUGGCUGAGCCAGACAGAGAGAUCUCUGCCCCACCUGCCAGGUAAAAAGAAGGUAGCCUUGGGCAAGUGACUGAAUCUCUCUUGAGACUCCAUGUCACCAUCUGGAAAAUAUAAAAAAAAAAAU